rnacentral:rRNA from 1 species
AGCGAACGCUGGCGGCAGGCUUAACACAUGCAAGUCGAACGCCCGUAGCAAUACGGGAGUGGCGGACGGGUGAGUAACACGUGGGAACGUGCCUUUAGGUUCGGAAUAGCUCCUGGAAACGGGUGGUAAUGCCGAAUGUGCCCUUGGGGGGAAAGAUUUAUCGCCUUUAGAGCGGCCCGCGUCUGAUUAGCUAGUUGGUGAGGUAAAGGCUCACCAAGGCGACGAUCAGUAGCUGGUCUGAGAGGAUGACCAGCCACAUUGGGACUGAGACACGGCCCAAACUCCUACGGGAGGCAGCAGUGGGGAAUCUUGCGCAAUGGGCGAAAGCCUGACGCAGCCAUGCCGCGUGAAUGAUGAAGGUCUUAGGAUUGUAAAAUUCUUUCACCGGGGACGAUAAUGACGGUACCCGGAGAAGAAGCCCCGGCUAACUUCGUGCCAGCCGCCGCCGUAACAC